rnacentral:rRNA from 1 species
UAGGGAAUUUUCGUCAAUGGGCGCAAGCCUGAACGAGCGAUGCCGCGUGAGUGAAGAAGGCCUUCGGGUCGUAAAGCUCUGUUGCGGGGGAAAAAAGGCAGCAUCAGGAAAUGGGUGCUGACUGAUGGUGCCCCGCCAGAAAGUCACGGCUAACUACGUGCCAGCAGCCGCGGUAAUACGUAGGUGGCAAGCGUUAUCCGGAAUGAUUGGGCGUAAAGGGUGCGCAGGCGGUCCUGCAAGUCUGGAGUGAAACGCAUGAGCUCAACUCAUGCAUGGCUUUGGAAACUGGAGGACUGGAGAGCAGGAGAGGGCGGUGGAACUCCAUGUGUAGCGGUAAAAUGCGUAGAUAUAUGGAAGAACACCAGUGGCGAAGGCGGCCGCCUGGCCUGUUGCUGACGCUGAGGCACGAAAGCGUGGGGAGCAAAUAGG